GUCUAUGGCCAUGCUACCCUGAACAAGCCCGAUCCCAUCUGAUCUCGGAAGUUAAGCAGGGUUGGGCCUGGUUGAUACUUAGAUGGGAGACCACCUAGGAAGACCAGGUGCUGUAGGCG
rnacentral:rRNA from 1 species